AUGUUUGAGCAAAGGGGAGGGUGUGCUUGCUGUGGCAGUGCCCCAGCUGGCAGGGGGCAGGCAGCCACCCCUCCCGAGACCAGCUCCCCAAGGGGCAGAGUGACCCCCUGUGCAGACCAGACCCACGGACACAGAUCCCCGAGGCCCCGGCUCUCAGCCUCAAGUAGCCGGAGGACAGCUUGCCUCCGGGGCCGGAGCCGUGGGACGAGCUCGCCUCACCCCACGGACAGCCGUCCGCAUCAGGCCGUGAGACACACCUGCCAGGACGGUGGGGACGAAGGCAACGCACAGCCUGGGUCAUGGCCUCGGAAACCAGCGCAGCAGAGAGACAGCAGGGACCCUGAAGCCAAGGGGCCGCUUGAACUACUGGGGGCGUCCCUGGUGGCUCGGCCGGUAAAGAGUCUGCCUGCAAUGUGGGAUACCCGCGUUCAGCCCCUGGGUUGGGAAGAACCCCGGGAGAAGGGAAAGGCUACCCACUCCGGUACUCUGGCUGGAGAACUCCAGGGACCGUAUAGCCCACAGGGUCGCCAAGAGUCAAACGCGACUGAGCGGCUCUCACUUAAAUCGCCGGGGUCUGGUGUGGAGACUGACUCAGGUGCUGGCCCUCCCUCCCCAGCCACGGGACCUUGCGAGCACGCUGGCCUCCCUGCAGCCUCUCUAUCUGCAGGGUCUGACGGGAGCGCUGACGGACUAGGGCACAGAGCAGUCUGCAGUGGGCGCUCAGCAAACAGACACUGUCUGGACGCGACACACGCAGCUCUGCUGGAGCUAAAGCAGGGCCUCCCCGCCCUCGGCGCUGCUCCGAGUGUCUGUGGCCCGUCUGCACAGCUCUGCUGGACGCUGAUGGGGGUUCGGGGGACACAGGCAGGGGGGCUGUGGCCUCAGAGCGUCUGGGGCGGGACGUUCUGUGCGCGUGAGGCCCUGCAGAGCCCGUUGCCCACCCGCGGUGGAUGUGGUGGGACCUGUUCCCGGGGCUCCCUUCUGGGGAGCAGCCACCCCGGGCACUUCCUCCAUCCCCUGCACAACCUCCUGGCGCGUCACGGAGAGGGGUUGCCCUGUGACCCCCUGGACUGGUUGAGGCCAACCUUCCUGAGACCCCAGGCCCAAACACAGCUGCCCCGGGGACAGAGGGCCAGGCCACUCCCCCUCUCUGGAACGUUCCAAAGCCUCAGAAAAAGCCCGCUUGGAAAGGAAAUGGGCAGCAGCUGCCGGCCCACGGAGAGAGGGCAGCGUGGGGCACCACCCUGCAUUUCCGAGGCCUCCCCAUCCCUGUGUGCACAGGGACCCGGGGCCUCCCUCCUGAAGGCAGCAUUACCUGUGCGUGUCCCCUGGGGUCAGCAGGGGACCAGCCCUGUCUGUGGGAGGGAAAGGGAGCGGCUGGGCGGAGGCCAGCAGCUGUGACCACGCUCUUGGGAGGCGAUCCUGGCCUCACAGACCUCCAGCCUUUCAGAAGGGCCCCGUUUCACAGGUGCAGAAACUGAGGCAGGAAGCUGUGAGUGGCUUGCCCGUGGCCACACGGGCGAGCGCUGGGUAUGCCUGCGCCCCCCUGCUGGCCCUCUGCCACCGGCCACGCCCCGAGGCCUUCCCUUCACUCUGGCUGAGUGGGCGGCCUCCCAGCCCUCCCCAAGGGGUUCUGCGCUCAGCUCGGGGGUCACCCAGUGGCGCCAGCAUGACGAUUGGCAAGUGUCCUGGGGCUGCCCCCCACAGCUGGCAUCCAGCCCCUCGCGUUCCAGGGGCCAUGGGGCAUGAGGCUGGUGGGGCCAGAGCCCCCGAGACAAGGGGUCCUGCGCUCAGCGCGGGGUGCACCCUGUGGCGCCAGCAUGACGAUUGGCAAGUGUCCUGGGGCUGCCCCCCACAGCUGGCAUCCAGCCCCUCGCGUUCCAGGGGCCAUGGGGCAUGAGGCUGGUGGGGCCAGAGCCCCCGAGGCCCUGGAGAGCCGACCCUCAUCCUGCCAGCUCCUGAGCUCCUCCUUCCUUCGCCCCCAUGCAGACGCCUCUCCGUGGCUCCCGUGGACCAGGCAGGGGAGGAGCCGUGACCCUGCUGUGCUUCUGGAAGCUUCUUCAAGUUCCCUCGAGCUUCAAAGGCCUGGGAGCUGGAUGACCUCUGUCCUCAGCCAGGCGUGGUUUCCGGGCAUUCCUGGGGUGGCAGGCAGCUCUUUGGGGCUAUUUUGGGAUCGCCACAAACUUUACCCUUCUCCUGUGAACGGGACUUUUCAUCGGACUCGGCUGAGACAGGGCUGAUGUCACUCCAAAUUAUAGGGGCUCUGCGGGGUGGGGCAGGGUGAGGCCGCGGGUGGGACCCCAGGUGCCCUGCCGGGUGACCCCAGGACAGUCACCUGCGGGCGGGCACAGCGCUCCCCCCGGCUGCGUGCGGCUCAGUGCGCGUCUGGAAAUGUCAGCAUGCUGGGCAAGAUGUGUUUAUUUAGGACGGGGCCGCUGGAUGCGCGCCUUCAGGGAAAUGACCAAACGCCUUUGUCUUUCCCAGGGAGGCUGGCCAGUCCUUCAGCCCGGAAGGAAGGGGGCUAAGCGACGCCCCCACGUGAGCAGGUCAUCCUGGCCCCAGAGCCCAGGAGCCCCGGCCCUGACGGCUCCGCACACUCGGGGUGAGGCGUCCCUGCGCUGCCCCAGCACUGACGCCCCGGUGUCUCCCGGUGGGCAGGGCAGAGCACCCCCUGGGGCCCCGCUCACCCCUGCAGCAGCAGCCCAGCCCAGCUGGGGGCUGAGGGGGCAGAGGGUCCCCGGCAGGAGCAGACAGACUCAGGCAACAGGGAAAGGAGCAGAGACCCUCCCGGGGAGCCUGGGCCCCGGCCUCUGGGCCCAUGCUCAGUGCCCUCUUGAACGGGGCAGGGGUACCCUUCCUCAGGGGCCCGCAAACAGUGCCGGCAGGCAGGGCCCCCGAGGUCAGAAGCACACCCUGGCUCAUCCAUGCACUCGCUCACUGCCUCAUCCGUCCCGGCACCCGGGACAGCUUCCCAGGAGGGGCGCGGGGUCAGGCCUCACCCCUCAGCUUGCUUUGAAAAUCCAUUCUGCCCCUUCAGGGUCGCGGCCCAGAAAACUCCUGUUCACACGCAGCUUGCCUGCGGCCCGGGCAGGCUGGCAGCUGGCACUGGCGAGCGCUGGCAGCUCCUGGUUGGGGGGGUGGGAGGAAGUCAUGCUUCCUGCUGACACUUGGCGGGAGGCCGCAUGGCCCGGCCGGCUCCCUGCAGGGCCCUGCGGGAGGGUGCACGGUAGGUGCACCCCGCCCCUGCCAGGGGCCCGGAGGACUCUGGCCGCAGGGACCAAAACCCAGCAGCGGACACAGACCCAGAAAGAUGGUGACAGGGAGGAGGGAAGACGGGACGGCCGAGGGGCCUGCAGCCGGUAUCCCCGCUGAGACCCGGCCGCCCCCUGGACCCUCCCGUCACACUGGCCCCGCGCCUAAACCCGGCAGAAGAGUCAGAGAGAAGGGGGUUGCGGCCGCAAGCCUGAGAGACAAGUCUGUCCAGGCCGAUCGGGCCUGGACCCCAGAGGACCAUCCCGCCGGGCCAGCACGGUGCCACCCAUCAACAAGGGGUGGAUGAGCAGCUCAUUAAUGAGCCGUCGCCCUUUUCCUGCAGCGUCUGCGGCUUAACUUACGCUGACGGCACGGCCAAAAUUGCACCUGCAUUUUCCCUGCAAAGACCUCCUCUGUCCUUGGAUCCCGUGAGGUUACAGCUGAAAUGUGGACCCACUUGCUGGGCUGUCUGACCAUCCUUGAAAGCUUUCCAGCCGAUUCAAAUGCCCCCUAAGUCAUCCGUCUCUGAUACUCACGUUCAAACGACACCACAGCUCUGGUUAGGGUUUUCCCACCUGCUGUUUUCCAGCACGUUUUCACACGACGUCCUUUUCUGCCGUCUCUUCAUUUCUUUAGCCCAUUUUCUAUAGAGCUAGCCUUUUUUUAAAUUUGUAAAAGCUAUCUAAAAAAUCGGCGCUAGUAACUUCUGGCCCAUGAUAUGGCUGGGAGGUAGCUAGCCUUUUUCUAUCUGUAAAGGGCACUAAACAGCCUGCGCUGGUAACCUUUGACCCAUGAUAUUUGACCCAUGAUGAUACAGUUGGGAGGCAUUUUCUCACUGUCAUUUAUCUAGUUUCUAAUUUCUCUGCAAAGAAAAGUUCUUUUUAAACAAAAAAAUAUGGAAAACGCGCCCACAUUUUCUUGCAGGCCUUUUGGAUUGUUUGCUUAUUCAAAAGACUUUUCAUUGUGAAGCAGCGAUGGAAUCGCAGGACGUGGCAAAGACAGCACAGAGGUUCCGGCCACCUGGUCCCGCUGGCGGGUGAACUUGACCUGGGGGGUCAGACGAGAACCUCGGCUGGGACGGAGCAGAGCUGCCAGCCGGGCGCUCCCCUGCGCGGCGGUUUCGCGUGUUUGGUUCUGUGUCUCUGAACCAUUCCAGUUUGCUUCCGGUAUCAAGCACAAGGAAAGAAUCCAAUUCAAUCUUUUUCUUUUGCGUAUCCUACCACCCUGAUGCCACAUUUUCUUUCUUGUUUAAAACAGCGUGAUUGAGGCAAAAUUGACAUUACUCAGAUAGCUGAGUAUACAUACUUGAAGUCAUAUUUUGGUAAAUCCUGACUUAAGUAUACACCAUCACUAAAAGCAGGGCAGUGGACAUGUUUGUUGCCCCACAGCUUCCCUGUGCCCUUGGUAACCUGCCCCCAGCACCUCCCCAGCACCCCAGCUCCACUUCCUGUCACUUCAGGUUGGUUGGCUGGUGUUUCUUAUGGUUUUAUGUAAAUGAAGUCACAAUGUAUGUAACCUUUGUUUGCUUGGCUUCCUGAACUAAGCCCAUCAGUGGGCCCUCCUUUUUCAUUGUUGGCUGCCAAGUGCUUCACCUCUAUCCCUCUAGCCUGUGUCCAUCCACCUACCCACCCAC
ensembl:lincRNA